GACAGAGGGUGCGAACGUUGCUCGGAAUUACUGGGCGUAAAGCGCGUGUAGGCGGUGCCGCACGUCCGGUGUGAAAGCCCAGGGCUCAACCCUGGAAGUGCACUGGAUACGACGGCGCUGGAGUCCUGAAGAGGAGGGCGGAAUUCCCGGUGUAGAGGUGAAAUUCGUAGAUAUCGGGAGGAACACCAGUGGCGAAGGCGGCUCUCUGGACAGGUACUGACGCUGAGACGCGAAAGCGUGGGUAGCAAACAGG
rnacentral:rRNA from 1 species